rnacentral:pre_miRNA from 1 species
GGAAUAUAAAAAUUCGUCUCUUAACUUUUAACUAAAAAACAGGUUCUUAAAACUUUUAUUUAAGAACCGGUUCUUAUCUUUUUUAGUUAAAAGUUAAGAGACGAGUUCUUAUAUUUC